rnacentral:rRNA from 1 species
UACGGAGGGUGCAAGCGUUAUCCGGAUUCAUUGGGUUUAAAGGGUCCGCAGGCGGGCUUGUAAGUCAGGGGUGAAAGCCGGCAGCUUAACUGUCGAACUGCCUUUGAUACUGCAAGUCUUGAGUGAGGUUGAAGUAGCUGGAAUGUGUAGUGUAGCGGUGAAAUGCUUAGAUAUUACACAGAACACCGAUAGCGAAGGCAGGUUACUAAGUCUUAACUGACGCUGAGGGACGAAAGCGUGGGGAGCGAACAGGAUUAGAUACCCCCGUAGUCC